rnacentral:rRNA from 1 species
GUCCACGCAGUAAACGAUGCAGACUAGGCGUGGGGACUUGACCCCUCCGUGCCGGAGCUAACGCGGUAAGUCUGCCGCCUGGGGAGUACGGCCGCAAGGCUAAAACUCAAAGGAAUUGACGGGGCCCGCACAAGCGGCGGAGCGUGCGGUUUAAUUCGACGCAACGCGCAGAACCUUACCAGGGCUUGACAUGCACCUGCAGAGCGCCGAAAAGGCGAUGUCCUUCGAGGGUGGUGCACAGGUGCUGCAUGGCUGUCGU